rnacentral:pre_miRNA from 1 species
GUAAUACUCCCUCCGUUCCGAAUUACUUGUCUUGGAUUUGUCUAGAUACGGAUGUAUCUAGACUCAUUUUAGUGCUAGAUACCUCCGUAUCUAGACAAAUCCAAGACAAGUAAUUCGGAACGGAGGGAGUACAAG